UACGUAGGGGGCGAGCGUUGUCCGGAAUUAUUGGGCGUAAAGCGCGCGCAGGCGGUUUUUUAAGUCUGAUGUAUAAGUUCAAGGCUCAACCUUGGGACGCAUUGGAAACUGGGGGACUGGAGUGUAGGAGAGGAGAGUGGAAUUCCACGUGUAGCGGUGAAAUGCGUAGAGAUGUGGAGGAACACCAGUGGCGAAGGCGACUCUCUGGUCUGUGACUGACGCUGAGGCGCGAAAGCGUGGGGAGCAAACAGG
rnacentral:rRNA from 1 species